AAAAAAUAAAAAGUAAAAAGUAAAUCUGCUCAUCUGAAGGAAAAGUUCAUGUUUAAAGCUGUUUAAUUUAACUUUAAUGUUUAAAAUGAGAGGUGAAUGUUAAUAUUGACAAUAAUGUUCAGUCUCAGUGUGUAAAGGUCUUCUGCUGGUUCUACUGGUGAAUGUUUUGCAUUCAGACUAAAACCAUGAACUGUUUCAAUCAAGGGACUACUGAGGAACCAGAACCUGGUCCAGAGGUGAUCUGCAGCCAGAUGUGGAUGGAGGGAGGUUUGCUUUUCCAUGCUUUAAUUAAUGCACGUAUAAAUUAUUCAUAUGAAUAUUGAGUUGGUAGAGUGUGAUUUUUUUAAUUUAUUUUUUUGUCCUCCUCAGAGACUUUGGGACUUCUGCAGGGUCGGCUGUGACAACAAACAACAAGCUAUAAAUAUAAGAGGUAUAAUCUGAAGACCUGAUCCAAGGUAGCAGUCUGGAGUCAUAAAGGCUCCUGGUGCUGCAGGUCUGAGUCUGAACCUCCACCCAGCAGAGGACCAGCCGGUGGAGACAGGACCAGCUGGUUCAUGUGGGAUCUGAGCAGGACCAGGGCCUCGUCGCAUCCCAGGAGGAAGAAUUCUGAUCUGGCUCCAUGAACAGACUCCAGCAGGACGGAGAAAUGCCUGAAGACCAGGACAGCAAAGCUCCAGGUUCCUCCUGCUCCGGUCUGGAUGUGGAUCACUGAGAUGAGGUUCAUCAGCUGAUCCACCACACUGAGGACGGUCCAGCAGAACCCUGCAGAACCAGACCGGAGCUCCUGACUCCAUCCAGGGGAUUUUUCCUGGAGCUGAAUCUGUAGAAUCUGUUCUCCCAGGAAACACUAAAGACUGGAGUCACAUGACCUCCUUAUCACUGACCUGUUCAUGUUGUUGUUGUUGUUGCUGGUAAAUAAAAGAAAGAACUGUAGAACUUUUAAAAACAUGUCAUUUUUUUAAACUUUCCUGAUGGUUCCACUUAUUUUAGCUUUUAUUCUUGAAGGUUCUGUUGAAGUUUAAUACAUUUUCUUUGAACUCCUGACUUUAUUUGUUAGACAUGUGUUUAGGAUUAAUAUCUCUCUUUGCAACACAUUGAUGUAUUUACUGAAGAGAGAACUGAAUGGUGAUAAUUAUGUGUUUAGCUAUAUAAUGUAUAUUAGACUCAUGUAAAUCCAUGCAUCAUGAAGACCGGAGCAGACGGAAUACAAAAGGCACACAGGUAUGACAGGCAGUAAAACAAUUGUAUUUGUGAAAUAAUUGUAUUUGUAGAAACGUCUGAUUGCCUGCUUUUCUUCUGAGAUUAGCUCCAAGUAGUUAAACACUAAUUGAAAAGCUGUUUAGGAGGGCAGGUGGGCUAGAAGUAAGAGUAACUCUGUAUUACACACAGCAUUUAUGUGACAGA